rnacentral:rRNA from 1 species
GGGUUGUGAGGUUAAGCGACUAAGCGUACACGGUGGAUGCCCUGGCAGUCAGAGGCGAUGAAGGGCGUGCUAAUCUGCGAUAAGCGCCGGUAAGGUGAUAUGAACCGUUAUAACCGGCGAUACCCGAAUGGGGAAACCCAGUGUGACUCGUCACACUAUCAUUAACUGAAUCCAUAGGUUAAUGAGGCGAACCGGGGGAACUGAAACAUCUAAGUACCCCGAGGAAAAGAAAUCAACCGAGAUUCCCCCAGUAGCGGCGAGCGAACGGGGAGGAGCCCAGAGCCUGAAUCAGCAUGUGUGUUAGUGGAAGCGUCUGGAAAGGCGCGCGAUACAGGGUGACAGCCCCGUACACAAAAGCGCAUGUGCUGUGAGCUCGAUGAGUAGGGCGGGACACGUGGUAUCCUGUCUGAAUAUGGGGGGACCAUCCUCCAAGGCUAAAUACUCCUGACUGACCGAUAGUGAACCAGUACCGUGAGGGAAAGGCGAAAAGAACCCCGGCGAGGGGAGUGAAAAAGAACCUGAAACCGUGUACGUACAAGCAGUGGGAGCCCCACCACCAAAGCAUUAUCUGGUGUUGAAGGCCCUGCAAAGCAGCAUCGCGGUGGCGGAGCGUCGUUUGCGACGCCCAACACACAAAACAAGCGGUGAAUGCUUUGGGGUGGGGUGACUGCGUACCUUUUGUAUAAUGGGUCAGCGACUUAUAUUCUGUAGCAAGGUUAACCGAAUAGGGGAGCCGGAGGGAAACCGAGUCUUAAUUGGGCGUUAAGUUGCAGGGUAUAGACCCGAAACCCGGUGAUCUAGCCAUGGGCAGGUUGAAGGUUGGGUAACACUAACUGGAGGACCGAACCGACUAAUGUUGAAAAAUUAGCGGAUGACCUGUGGCUGGGGGUGAAAGGCCAAUCAAACCGGGAGAUAGCUGGUUCUCCCCGAAAGCUAUUUAGGUAGCGCCUCGUGAAUUCAUCUCCGGGGGUAGAGCACUGUUUCGGCUAGGGGGCCAUCCCGGCUUACCAACCCGAUGCAAACUGCGAAUACCGGAGAAUGUUAUCACGGGAGACACACGGCGGGUGCUAACGUCCGUCGUGAAGAGGGAAACAACCCAGACCGCCAGCUAAGGUCCCAAAGUCAUGGUUAAGUGGGAAACGAUGUGGGAAGGCCCAGACAGCCAGGAUGUUGGCUUAGAAGCAGCCAUCAUUUAAAGAAAGCGUAAUAGCUCACUGGUCGAGUCGGCCUGCGCGGAAGAUGUAACGGGGCUAAACCAUGCACCGAAGCUGCGGCAGCGACGCUGAUGCGUUGUUGGGUAGGGGAGCGUUCUGUAAGCCUGCGAAGGUGACCUGUGAGGGUUGCUGGAGGUAUCAGAAGUGCGAAUGCUGACAUAAGUAACGAUAAAGCGGGUGAAAAGCCCGCUCGCCGGAAGACCAAGGGUUCCUGUCCAACGUUAAUCGGGGCAGGGUGAGUCGACCCCUAAGGCGAGGCCGAAAGGCGUAGUCGAUGGGAAACGGGUUAAUAUUCCCGUACUUGGUGUUACUGCGAAGGGGGGACGGAGAAGGCUAUGUUGGCCGGGCGACGGUUGUCCCGGUUUAAGCGUGUAGGUGUGUGUUCCAGGUAAAUCCGGUUCACUUUAACACUGAGGCGUGACGACGAGGCACUACGGUGCUGAAGCAACAAAUGCCCUGCUUCCAGGAAAAGCCUCUAAGCAUCAGGUAACAUCAAAUCGUACCCCAAACCGACACAGGUGGUCAGGUAGAGAAUACCAAGGCGCUUGAGAGAACUCGGGUGAAGGAACUAGGCAAAAUGGUGCCGUAACUUCGGGAGAAGGCACGCUGACACGUAGGUGAAGUGAUUUACUCAUGGAGCUGAAGUCAGUCGAAGAUACCAGCUGGCUGCAACUGUUUAUUAAAAACACAGCACUGUGCAAACACGAAAGUGGACGUAUACGGUGUGACGCCUGCCCGGUGCCGGAAGGUUAAUUGAUGGGGUCAGCGCAAGCGAAGCUCCUGAUCGAAGCCCCGGUAAACGGCGGCCGUAACUAUAACGGUCCUAAGGUAGCGAAAUUCCUUGUCGGGUAAGUUCCGACCUGCACGAAUGGCGUAAUGAUGGCCAGGCUGUCUCCACCCGAGACUCAGUGAAAUUGAACUCGCUGUGAAGAUGCAGUGUACCCGCGGCAAGACGGAAAGACCCCGUGAACCUUUACUAUAGCUUGACACUGAACAUUGAGCCUUGAUGUGUAGGAUAGGUGGGAGGCUUUGAAGUGUGGACGCCAGUCUGCAUGGAGCCGACCUUGAAAUACCACCCUUUAAUGUUUGAUGUUCUAACGUGGACCCGUAAUCCGGGUUGCGGACAGUGUCUGGUGGGUAGUUUGACUGGGGCGGUCUCCUCCUAAAGAGUAACGGAGGAGCACGAAGGUUGGCUAAUCCUGGUCGGACAUCAGGAGGUUAGUGCAAUGGCAUAAGCCAGCUUGACUGCGAGCGUGACGGCGCGAGCAGGUGCGAAAGCAGGUCAUAGUGAUCCGGUGGUUCUGAAUGGAAGGGCCAUCGCUCAACGGAUAAAAGGUACUCCGGGGAUAACAGGCUGAUACCGCCCAAGAGUUCAUAUCGACGGCGGUGUUUGGCACCUCGAUGUCGGCUCAUCACAUCCUGGGGCUGAAGUAGGUCCCAAGGGUAUGGCUGUUCGCCAUUUAAAGUGGUACGCGAGCUGGGUUUAGAACGUCGUGAGACAGUUCGGUCCCUAUCUGCCGUGGGCGCUGGAGAACUGAGGGGGGCUGCUCCUAGUACGAGAGGACCGGAGUGGACGCAUCACUGGUGUUCGGGUUGUCAUGCCAAUGGCACUGCCCGGUAGCUAAAUGCGGAAGAGAUAAGUGCUGAAAGCAUCUAAGCACGAAACUUGCCCCGAGAUGAGUUCUCCCUGAGACUUUAGGUCUCCUGAAGGAACGUUGAAGACGACGACGUUGAUAGGCCGGGUGUGUAAGCGCAGCGAUGCGUUGAGCUAACCGGUACUAAUGAACCGUGAGGCUUAACCUUACAACGCCGAAG